rnacentral:rRNA from 1 species
UACGAAGGGGGCAAGCGUUGUUCGGAAUUACUGGGCGUAAAGGGCGCGUAGGCGGUGCUCUAAGUCAGGCGUGAAAGCCCUGGGCUCAACCCGGGAAUUGCGCUUGAUACUGGAGCGCUUGAAUCCAGGAGAGGUUGGUGGAAUUCCCAGUGUAGAGGUGAAAUUCGUAGAGAUUGGGAAGAACACCGGUGGCGAAGGCGGCCAACUGGACUGGUAUUGGACGCUGAGGCGCGAAAGCGUGGGGAGCAAACAGG